rnacentral:lncRNA from 1 species
UUUGGUUGGUUGAUGGUUGAUUGAGAUAGGAUAACAGGUGGAUAGUCUAAUAAAUAGACGAGAUGAUGUCGGAUUUUCGAUAGGAUUCAUAUGAUAAGUGAUUGGUAAUAUGUUAUGUGGAAUACGACUUGACUAUAUGGUAGAGUCCAAGCAUGAUUACGUGUUAAGUGAUAUGUGAUAAGUUUAAAGGGGUAUAUAAGUGGGUAUCGAUAUACGUGAUAUGUAUAUGCGAUAUAUUGUUUAGUGACUAUAGUAUUAUCUUAUUUUCGUAAGUGUAUGCCCGAAGACGUUCAGAAAGUCACGUGGUGUUACAAAGCGAAUAAGGGAUGAAUCGAGUAAGCGAAGCGAAGAUGUACGGUAGAUAGAGUAUAGCCAUAGAUGGUCUAGAGACUAUGAGAGGCAUAGAUUGUGAAAGUGGAAAGAUGAGAUUGAGAUGUGAGACUGGAGUCAGAUUUAAGGCAAGUAUCCUAUACCCUUCUCUUGGAUAUCUUGCAAUUAUUCUGAUCCAUUCUUUUCGUAUGUGUUGCAAAUAUUCGUUCCUCUCUUUUUCAUAUUUGAAAGUGUAAAUAUUUUAUCCAUCCUUUUCUAAUCCUCAAAAAUUCAGAUAAUUCUAUCUUUACAAAUUAAUUCGAAGUUCAGAUCGUCAUUGAAGCAUGUGUUGCUCAGUGAUAGUUAGAGCUUUGAAUGAAUUGGGAUCUUCUUGAUUAUUCAACCCGCCAUUGUCAUGCUGGUUUAGCAGGCUAAAUUCAGUUGCUUAGCCGAUAAUGGAGGAUACUGAAUAGUUAAGGAUUUCCUGAACUAUGAUUUAUGAAAGGAUGGACUCUGGUUUAUAAAAAGUUGAUUGUCAAGUUUGAUUUGAAAUUUUUCUGUUAUUGAUAAAUGAUUGUGAUUUUGUUCUAUUGAUAUACGUUGGUUUGUUGAAUUGAAUUAGAGAAUUGGAUUAUUGUUUUUAUAUAAACCUGUGGACCAGAUUCGUGGUCAUGUUAGGCCAAUGAGUGCCUUGGAUCCAGUGAUAGAGCAUGGCGGGGCCUGCUCGGGGUUAGUGCGGAACUGAUCAGCUGCCUAACCUUGGUUUUAAUUAAAAUGUGAUAGUCCAAUUCAAUAAUUCUUUGGAAAGAUUGAAUUUCUCAGUUUAAAUGCUGCAAGGUAUUGUAAAUCAUUCUAUACAAUACCAUGAACUCAUGAACUCAGGUUGAAUCCUCUUAUAUCUUGAACUCGUGAACUUCUGUUAUAUCAUUUCAGAACUAUCAUUGUUUAUUAUUACUUGCUGAGCAUUGUUGCUCACCCUUGCUAUUCCUUUCUAACCAUUUCAGAAAGGCUUAAAGAUGAGAUGAUUGAUUG